rnacentral:lncRNA from 10 species
CACGGCCCCUGCUGCGCCACCGCCCCGGACUGUUCCCGCGCGGCGAUGCCCCCUCCCCGGCGCCCCCGGGUGGGGCCGGUCGAGCCGAGUGCGCUAUCCCUUUAAGUCCGGGCGAGAUGAGAGCUGUCAGCGGCAGCCGAGGCUAGCGCGGGACGUCGCCACCCUAGCGCCAGGCCAGAGCUAGCAGCCGCGGAGCCGCAGAGAGCGGAGGGGGCGGCGGGGCCGGGCGCGGCGGGUCCCCUCGCCACCCACUGCGCGCUCGAACCCUGGGCCCCACGAGCGGCGGGCGGCACCCGCUGUAAUGCGGAGAAUGUGAGAGGCAGCACAGGGCGGUGGGGAGGAGGGGGUGCGGGAGAGGGCGGCGGCGAGACAGACGGAGAGCAGCGGGGAGAACGAGGACCGGGCUGGGCCGGUGGGAGAAGGCAGGGAGGCGCCGGAGAGGCCGGGCUGGAAGAGGGGGAGAGAAGGACGGCGGCGCAGUGGAGGGGGCCGGCGCUUAGUGCGGGGAGCCCGAGUCGGCACCUGGGCCCGGGUUCGGGCUGGGAGCGCGGCCGCGGCCCGGCUAGGCAGGGUGCGGGAGCCGGGCCGCCCGCCGGGUCCCCACGGGGAGCAGCGGGGCACCUGAGGCCGGCGGGUCCAGGAGGGGCCCAGGGUGGCGCUCCGAAAGCUCCGGCCGGCGUGGCAGGGGAUCUUUGUGAGCGCCCCAGGAGGGCGAGUCGGGAGUGCGGAGCCGGGUGUGUGCGCCCGGGUGUGCGCGUGUGUGAGCGCUGGGCAGUGGGGGCGCGCGGUAGGGAUUCUGCGGGCAUCGCGGCGUGGCGAGGAGGCAGAAGCGGGGCGCGCAGGGGAGCCGGGACCCUCCCGUGCACACGCACAAGCACACGCUGCGCGUUCUCACGCGCACAUACACGCCCUCCCUGCCGCGCUCGCCGCCGCGGCCACCAUCUCGGAGCCGAGCCCUGCGGAGCGGGAACCGAAGCCGGAGCGGGGACCGGAGGCAGCCGAGCAGGGGGAUGCCGACCCGGAGCGGAGCCACGCGCGGACUGCGCGCCCAAGACGCCUCUGGCAGCCACAGGCCCUGAGGCUCCAGUGCCCAGAGGCAGAGAGGGCAACUGA